UACGUAGGGGGCAAGCGUUGUCCGGAUUUAUUGGGCGUAAAGAGCGUGUAGGCGGCCCGAUUAGUCCGCUGUGAAAGUCCAGGGCUCAACCCUGGAAUGCCGGUGGAUACUGUCGGGCUAGAGUCCGGAAGGGGCGAGUGGAAUUCCUGGUGUAGCGGUGAAAUGCGCAGGAUAUCAGGAGGAACACCAAUGGCGAAGGCGGUUCUCUGGGCCUGUACUGACGCUGAGGAGCGAAAGCGUGGGGAGCGAACAGG
rnacentral:rRNA from 1 species